rnacentral:lncRNA from 1 species
UAAAAUUUCCCUUUUCUUCCUCAGGAAAAAAAAACUGGAAUGCAGAAGGUUGACAAUAACUUGAAGUUUGUUAAAUGACGUGAAGCAAGUAAAGUUGGCUGAAAUUUUAACUGUGAGCUGAUCAGUAUUAUAUUGUUUCAUCUACUUUGUUGAACUUCUUCGGAGGAGUUAAAAGAGAUCAAUGUAUGAUAAGCUCAAACAUUUGGUGUUUUUUCUCACAAGUCUUCAUGGCAAGAGAUGACACAGCAUGACAUCACGUGUGGAGACAGGAGGUAUCCAGGAAAAGGAAGGCAAAUCAGACUGGGCAAUCACAAAUACAAAAAUUUUGGAACCCCUGAGUAGAAAAGUGAAGGACUUCUCUCAAUCUGCAUGAGGAAAACUUUAAGAUGAGCUUGAUGGCAGCAUGAUACCAGCAAAUGGAUUACAAAGUCAGUUACAGAGGCAGGUCAGUAAGAAUUUUGCUUAACAGCUAUUAGCUAUUCCUUCCGAAUCACAAAUUUGCAGGCAUUAUCUUCUAUGAGCAUGGAAGAAUUCAAAGAACAAUAAUAAGCAACUGAAGAAAGUGCGGUUUGACUGAUAGCCAGAGACUCCAGCCCUUC